GGGGCGCCCACUAUGUAAAUCCGGCCCUGAAAGGAGAGCUAAAGUUUAACAAAGAAGCAGGCUAAAAUGCGACAGAGAUAUGGCUGGUGAAAUCAAAACUCCAGGGAAAAGUUUAUGGGUCCCUGGAGUGGAUGGAAUAGAGCAGAGUGGGCUUCCAUUCCUUGCUCCAUGUAAGGGUUUUGCAGCUGCCAAGCUAGAGGCAGCUAAGUAAUUAGCUACAGGUUUGAUAUAGUUAAAAGGAGGCGUGGAGCAAUGUCUCAGAGCUGCUGCUUCCCACUAGAGAUCACAUGGAGUAGAGGAGGGUGAGGGGGCCACAUGUGCUUGUGAGCACCAGGGAACAAGAGAGUGAUUCCCCUGAGUUGGAGAGAGCUCCAAAGGUCUGGAGAGAGGACAAGAAAAACUGCUCCCAGGAGACAAAAGUGUCUCAAGUGUGAACAGAGAAGAUUCUGGGAUUUGUGGUCCGCUGAAAGCCAGUGAGGGCUAAACUCAAACGCCUUGCUAGUGCUGUCUGAAUCUUGUAAGCCCACGCUGGGAUGUCUGAGAAUCAGGAUUUAUGGCCUGUUCUUCCUUCUCCUGUGGGGAAACAGAAUGAACCUCAUCAAGAGGAAUAUCGUCUACCUGCAAGGCAAGGAGGGGGCUCUUAACAUCCUAAACUCCAAUGUGUUCUUUGUUAACAAGUUUAUUAAGCACAACUUAAGCAACCUCCUUCUGGAGAAGCCUCCUUUGUGGGCAGAUAUUUUUAGGACAUUGAUCUCUCCAUUGCUUGGGGACUGGAUGAAUGGUGGCUUGGUAAAGAGUAUGCAAACCCAUCACCUUAAGGUUGAGUGGGCUAUUGUAUUCUAGGGUUAGUAUACAAACUAUGUAUAUAAAUAUGUAUAGAUGUGUGUGGAGACUAGCAUUAUGUUUAUGAGCUUAUCACUUUGAUUUUGCCUUAUUGGAUUAAUAAAGAAAGUUUCUGAUGCACAUUUUGUUUUAAAUUUUGUAUUUGUUUGUAUUUAAGACAUAAUGGUCUUUUUUUUGUUUUUUUAA